rnacentral:rRNA from 1 species
CCUCGAGUGGUGGAUCACUCGGCUCGUGGGUCGAUGAAGAACGCAGCUAACUGCGUGCAGACGUGUGAACUGCAGGACACAUGAACACCGACGUUUCGAACGCAAAUGGCGGCUUGAAAUAACUUUCAAGCCACGUCUGGCUGAGGGUCGGAUAUGAAAUACUUAAUAAAA